GUAGGGAGAAAAUUGAACCGGCUAAGACGGCCAUAACGAGCGUUUCGACGGUAUACUGCGCAUUGAUAAUAUCUGCUGAAAUUUGUGGACCUUUUUUUAGUUGAGUUUAAAUAUGGUUAAAUGCAUAGCGUGGAGUUUAAGUGUCGUCGUUAUUGCAGAUAAAUAAUUCAUUUUUUAGUGUGUUCAAUCGGUUCAGCAACGCAUGUGUUGUUGUUGUUGUAUAUUUAUGUUGUGUUCGGCGCACAAAAACCAAAAUUAUACCAAUACACCAACACCAACAACCAACAUCAAAGAGCAACAGUGUUACGCACGACAUCAUAAAUAUGUAACAUUGAGGUGGAUUAUGAUAAACGCCAAGAUAUAAUAUGUUUAUUUUUAUUUAUUAUUUGUUUUUGUUUUUGUUGAUAAUCAAUAAGAAAAAGAAAAGAAAAAAGGAAGAGAACAAAGUUGAACAUUAAUAAUUGCAUUGCAAAACGGAAGUAAAUUGUAUGUGUGCGCAUAUGUGCAAUUGUUUAUAUUAAAGUCAUAUCUAACAGUUGGGAGGGUACAUAUGUAAAUAUGGCAAGGUUAAAGCUAAACUAUAAACAAUUUUUUGAUUAUGUUCAUAUUGUGAAAAUGAAAUGUAAUUUAGUUGAAUGAAGCUAUUUACAAGUGUGUGUGUACGUUUCUAAUAAACAAGUGAAUUUCAAAAACUAAAUUUUAAUUACUUUUCCAUUUAAUUAUAAUAUAAGAAAACCAAAAAUAAAAACAAUAUUUUCUAAAAUAAAUUUUUA